GGGAGUUUGUUGCACCAGAAGUAGCUAGCCUAACUGCAAAGAGGGCGGUUACCACGGUGUGGCCGAUGACUGGGGUGAAGUCGUAACAAGGUAGCCGUAGGGGAACCUGCGGCUGGAUCACCUCCUUA
rnacentral:rRNA from 1 species